ACUCCUGCGGGAGGCAGCAGUGGGGAAUAUUGGACACUGGGCGCAAGCCUGAUCCAGCCAUGCCGCGUGAGUGAUGAAGGCCCUAGGGUUGUAAAGCUCUUUCACCGGAGAAGAUAAUGACGGUAUCCGGAGAAGAAGCCCCGGCUAACUUCGUGCCAGCAGCCGCGGUAAUACGAAGGGGGCUAGCGUUGUUCGGAAUUACUGGGCGUAAAGCGCACGUAGGCGGAUCGAUCAGUCAGGGGUGAAAUCCCAGGGCUCAACCCUGGAACUGCCUUUGAUAAUGUCGAUCUGGAGUAUGGAAGAGGUGAGUGGAAUUCCGAGUGUAGAGGUGAAAUUCGUAGAUAUUCGGAGGAACACCAGUGGCGAAGGCGGCUCACUGGUCCAUUACUGACGCUGAGGUGCGAAAGCGUGGGGAGCAAACAGGAUUAGAAACCCUAGUAGUCCCAUG
rnacentral:rRNA from 1 species